rnacentral:pre_miRNA from 1 species
AAUUUAUUUAUGCGCUCUGAUUUAAAAAUGAGAGCGCAAAAAUAAAUUUG